CUGGGGUGUGCCUCCUAGUGGACUCUGAAGGGCCAGUCUCUGGAUCUGAAACAAACUGGAUGUCUGGAGAUGCUGCCCUGAUGUCAUGGAGAGGUGAUGAAGGACCUUCUUCAUCAGCUCUGUCUUCAGCUCUGUCCUCAACUCUCUCUUCUUCACCCUUAAUCCAACCACCAUCAGUCCUAGUGAAUCCCAUGCGGUGCAAAGUGUGUUGGUUGAUGGUGUCAGAGUGAGAAAGCCUAGCUGAUGCCUCCCCC
rnacentral:lncRNA from 1 species